AGUGUGCUGGAAAGGGGAAAUGAAGUGAAGCUUCAGUCCAUGAUGAAGAUCCUCCUCAUCUGCACCCUCUCCCUGAUCUCGGGUUCCGUGGGCUGCUCUGAUGUAAAGGGCUACUCGGGAGGAAGCGUCAUUAUAAUCUCUAAUCUAAAAUGGGAUUCAAGACAAAGUAAAUAUGUUUGUAAGGUGGGAAAAGAAGCCUGCAGAGAUUUAAUACAUUUUAACACCAAAGAGGACUAUGUUAUAGUAGAAAGAUUCAUGCUGUAUUCAAACACAAAAGGAUAUAUGACAGUGUUUAUCAGACAGCUGAAGCUACAAGACGCAGAACAUACAGAAUAGGAGUAGGGACUGGGAAGAGCACUGAUGUAAACCUGGCAGUUGUUAAUGAUUCCUGUUGUUCUGGGCCAAAAAUAAUAAAUGCUUGUCUUGGACAAAAUACCAGCAUCAUC
ensembl:lncRNA